UAAAAGACUUUAAUUAAAGCCACAAAUAUAAAGCAAAACUCUUUUU
rfam:Larimichthys crocea isolate SSNF unplaced genomic scaffold scaffold131, whole genome shotgun sequence.